rnacentral:rRNA from 1 species
GACGAACGCUGGCGGCGUGCUUAACACAUGCAAGUCGAACGAAGAGCGAUGGAAGCUUGCUUCUAUCACUCUUAGUGGCGAACGGGUGAGUAACGCGUAAUCAACCUGCCCUUCAGAGGGGGACAACAGUUGGAAACGACUGCUAAUACCGCAUACGAUCUAAUCUCGGCAUCGAGGAUAGAUGAAAGGUGGCCUCUACAUGUAAGCUAUCACUGAAGGAGGGGAUUGCGUCUGAUUAGCUAGUUGGAGGGGUAACGGCCCACCAAGGCGAUGAUCAGUAGCCGGUCUGAGAGGAUGAACGGCCACAUUGGGACUGAGACACGGCCCAGACUCCUACGGGAGGCAGCAGUGGGGAAUCUUCCGCAAUGGACGAAAGUCUGACGGAGCAACGCCGCGUGAGUGAUGACGGCCUUCGGGUUGUAAAGCUCUGUUAAUCGGGACGAAAGGCCUUCUUGCGAAUAGUGAGAAGGAUUGACGGUACCGGAAUAGAAAGCCACGGCCAACUACGUG